rnacentral:lncRNA from 1 species
UGUCAGUGAAGCCAGGAGCGUCUGGGAUCUCUAUUAGCACCAGGCUGUGUGAACAGACUUGGGCCAGAGUUGCAGCUGGGAAGAAUGCCCCUGGUGUGAACAGGGUGGUUCCAAAAGCGCGGCAGAGAGCCGGCCGGCAGGGCGGGCAGGGGCAAAGGAGAAUGAGUGAGAGCCAAGGAUGCGUCGAGACCCUUCAAGUCAAGGAGACACGUUAGAGCAGUGAGCAUCCUGGAGUGAAAAUGCAGGUCUGUACUAACCACCGGAACCUUUGAAAAUGUCUGCGUCUGUGGCCAAGUUGUGGAUGGUCAAUCCAGUGACCUUGGGACCUCUGAAGACUUGGUUAAUGACUGGGCCUCUCUGCCUGUAUACGUGUGGAUUUCCACCUCUCCCAGAGCAUCAACACACAUAAUCUUUUGUUUUGAUCCUGCAUUUGAGCCAACAAACACUGCAGGGCCUUAUAGAGUCUCUACCGAAAGCAUCUCGUGUUCUGCUUGUGCUGUGAUGCCAAAAAGUGUGACAGUACAUAGCUGUGAUUCUGAGCAGCUGUCACUGGGAGAAGAGGUGAGUGAUAUGUGCACUGCUCUUCUUGCUUUGGAAAAUCAAAAAGUAAAUCUCAACAGUCACUAGUAAUAGCACUGAAAAAUAGAGAGUAGGAUUGGGAAUUUUUAAAAAAUGUUCUGCUUAAUUCUUUUUCAUAGUUUCCAAACAUAUUCGAGCCACAGGGCCAUGUGGUUGGUGUGGGGGGCAGUAGCCCUGCUCCCCAGAGUCUUUGAGAAACCAGGUUCUUUUAUAUUAUGAUGAUUCUAUCCUCAGCACAGGGUCCCUCCAUGGGUGCUGCAGAAGGGGUGGAGUUUAGAGGUUUUAGGGCCAGGCCUGGAAAGGGUACCAUUACUUUGGGAUAAAACUCAAGUAUGUUAUGCUAACCUCAUUGCAAAAAGAGAAUCAAAAAUGUCUUCUUGUAUGUCGUUGACUUAAAAAAUACAUGCGCAACCUAGGAAUUCCCACUGUGGUGCAGUGGGUUAAGGAUCUGGCAUUGCCACGGCUAUGGUAUAGAUCACAACUGUGGCUCGGAUUCAACUCCUGGCCUGGGAAUUUCCAUGUGCUGUGAGUGUAGCCAAAAAAAAUAGGCACAAACUAAAAGCUGAGAGUUAAGUUUUACUUGGGGAAAAAUGAGGACUGUAGCCCAGGAGGCAGCAUUUAAGAUCACUCUGAAAUACCACCCCAAAGAGGCAGGGAAAAUAUAAGGAUCUAUGUGAUUUCAGUGAAGGGGGAGGUACAUGCAGCCAAGCACACAUUUUACGGAAGGCUGCUCUUAGUCUCGUGAAGGUUACUGCCAGUCACUGGGAGCAGACAACGCCAUGAAGGAUUUUAGCGUUUUUCCAGAUAUGAGGAGAUGCAAAAAUUAGGCUCACUAAAUCUUUUGAAAAUACCUAUCUGAAGACCUGUUCUGCCAGUUUUCCCAGAGCACAGAGUGCCUCACUCCUGAUCUCCUAGCUCUGCUCAGGGGCUGCUGUGGCUCAUGAUUUAAUUCAUGUAGAGGCAGAUGGGCAGCACCAAUCUCCAGUUCACAGUGUCUAAGAUAAACUUGAAAGUUCCCAGGAAUCUAUUUGCUUGUUUCUGCCACACA